CUCUUAGUUCUAUAAUGAUCCUUCCGUAGGUGAACCUGCGGAAGGAUCAUUA
rnacentral:rRNA from 1 species